rnacentral:rRNA from 1 species
AUGGCCACUUUGGUAUACAAAGUAUACGAUCUGAGUCGCAUUAUUUACUUAGCAUUUUGCAUUGCACUUGCUGGCGGUGAAGCAGAUUUGAAAUCUUUUGGAGCCUGGAGGCGCACCAGCAGUAAGCAGUUCAUAGCUCACACUCAGAGCAAUUUCCCGUCAGCAGAAUUAAAAAACGCACGAAUCCGCCUAAGUUGCAGCAGAUUUACCUCGAGCUUAUCGCCCUUCUCGACGAUGUCGAUCCGGAGCAUCCAGUCCGCCUCCUGCUUCUUCAGGUUGCACACAUUCUCCGCGAUGUCGAUGAUCUCGAUCUCCGGCACCUAA